GAACACCUCAACCCUCCAAUGUUUUUGCAUUGAAGGCGUUGGUAGUGAGCGCUGCCGGACUUCGGAUCGGCUCGCUUUAAAAUCAUUAGCUGGAUCCAUUCUGACCUGGUUCUACUCGGCGUAAUAAGUUAUUAUCGUCGAGGACGCCUGGCCUUCUAGGCUGGCGGCCACAGUAAGGGUGUUUGAACCGCUUCUAACGCGUCUUGCUCUUGUAGCAAACACUUGAAC
rnacentral:misc_RNA from 1 species